GACGAACGCUGGCGGCGUGCUUAACACAUGCAAGUCGAACGGGCCUUGUCCCCUUUUUUUUUGGGGGUGGGGUUAGUGGCGAACGGGUGAGUAACACGUGAGUAACCUGCCCCUCACUUCUGGAUAACCGCUUGAAAGGGUGGCUAAUACGGGGUGUUCUGGCCUGCUCGCAUGGGUGGGUUUGGAAAGAUUCGACCGGUUUUGGUUGUUUUGGUGGGGGAUGGGCUCGCGGCCUAUCAGCUUGUUGGUGGGGUGAUGGCCUGCCAAGGCUUUGACGGGUAGCCGGCCUGAGAGGGUGGGCGGUCACACUGGGACUGAGACACGGCCCAGACUACUACGGGAGGCAGCAGUGGGGAAUAUUGCACAAUGGGCGCAAGACUGAUGCAGCGACGCCGCGUGAGGGAUGGAGGCCUUCGGGUUGUGAACCUCUUUCGCCAGUGAAGAAGGUCCUGCUCUUUGUGGUGGGGUUGACGGUAGCUGGGUUAAUGAAGCGCCGGCUAACUACGUG
rnacentral:rRNA from 1 species